CUGGGAAGUCUGCAAAGGAGUCAGUGCUGAGCAGGGCAGCUGCAAGCCAAACCCCAGAGCAGGUUGCCCCCUAAGAACUGAUAAGAAGACUCUGAAGAAACCCUUUUGCUCAUUCAGGCUCUGAGAUUGUGUACAGCAUGGGCAACAUCAGUGCUAGCUUCUCCACACCACCGUGCUCACAUGCCUCAUCACUGACCUUUAGGGACAGCCACUACAGUUGAGAGGAUCGUUCCAUCUCCACCCUCCAUUUGGACCUUGGCCUUGCAGUUGAAUCUGCCACCCAGAGACCUGUUUCUGAAGUGGUCAAGGAGGCAUCACCAGCACAACUGACCUCACGGUAGAGACUGCAACCACCCCUGUUAAACGGGAUGAGGAUGCAACAUGUGAUGGCCCUACAAGAGCCUUGUUACCCUUGGAGCUUGGUAGGCACCCACUGGAUCUAUGCUGUUUGUGCCCGUCCAGCUGUUUAACUCAACUCCCCUUUGCCUCAGCUCUCAAAUCACAUCUUUAGGAGGGUGUCAGGUGUCACUUUCAGCCUGCCGCUUACAGGAAUAGAGUCUGUCAGUGACCUGGUAUUUGAAAGAAAGGGAGAGCUUAAAAGUGCCAAGAGAUUAGCUGUUGCCUAUUGAUUUACACUUUCCUAAGUCACAAGAGGAGGAUCUUUAAAAUGCCAUCCCUCUCCCCAGUUCAGCAGGAGCCUAGAUUUUGAACAGAGCUCAUCCAAUUUUAAUUUCAUGUGUCCAUUAGUUUUUGCUUAUUAUUGUCAUUUUAAAAAAGCAAUUUUGGUCCAUUCAUUUCCAAUACCCUUCUCCUCUUGUUUACUAGUCAUGAUCUCACCACAGUCCUUGGGAAGUAGCAGUAGACCUUUUGGGUUGAACUAAUUCAGUAUGCCUCUCUCCAAUACAUAAGAUUGUUUAGAAAACGGUAACUGUCUGAGCUGGAUUUUUGCAACCCUGGACAACUUGAAGUCCACGCCUCUGCACAACAUGGUGAAAACAUCUCUGAAGAAGUAAUGGAGAAAUACACAAAGAUAGAGGAGGAGAGACGGACACAGGGAGAAGAGGACAGAUGGAGUACAUCUUUCCCAGGUGGGGGAAUGUGUAACCCAGGCCCAUAUAGUGUGGCACGACAGUGCUGGCUGGGCCACAUAUAUAGGGAGUGGAUGUGGAAUUAUCUAUAGGAAAA